AUUGAACGCUGGCGGCAUGCGUAACACAUGCAAGUCGAACGGUGGGUAGUGCUUGCACUGCCCAUAGUGGCGGACGGGUGAGUAAUACGUAGGAAUCUGUCUUAGAGAGGGGGAUAACCAGGGGAAACUUUGGCUAAAACCGCAUAAACUCGCGAGAGAAAAGCAGGGGACUGUAAAAGGCCUUGCGCUUUAAGGUGAGCCUACGUCAGAUUAGCUAGCUGGGGGGGUAAAGGCCUACCAAGGCGAUGAUCUGUAGCUGGUCUGAGAGGACGGACAGCCACACUGGGGCUGAGACACGGCCCAGACUCGUACGGGAGGCAGCAGUGGGGAAUAGUGGACAAUGGGGGCAACCCUGAUCCAGCGAUGCCGCGUGUGUGAAGAAGGCCUGCGGGUUGUAAAGCACUUUCAGUUGGGAAGAGAAGCGACCUGUGAAUAAUGGGUUGUGGAGACGUUACUAACAAAAGAAGCACCGGCUAACUCUGUGCCAGCCGCCGCCGUAAUAC
rnacentral:rRNA from 1 species